GAUGAACGCUGGCGGCGUGCAUAACACAUUCAAGUCGAACGAGGUAGCAAUACCUAGUGGCGGACGGGUGAGUAACGCGUGAGCAACCUGCCCUUGUGUGGGGGAUACCGUCUGGAAACGGACGUUAAUACCGCAUAACACAAGAGGACCGCAUGAUCCUCUUGUCAAAGAUUUAUUGCGCAAGGAUGGGCUCGCGUUGGAUUAGAUAGUUGGUGAGGUAACGGCCCACCAAGUCUGCGAUCCAUAGCCGGACUGAGAGGUUGAACGGCCACAUUGGAACUGAGAUACGGUCCAGACUCCUACGGGAGGCAGCAGUGGGGAAUAUUGGGCAAUGGGCGAAAGCCUGACCCAGCGACGCCGCGUGAGUGAAGAAGUAUUUCGGUAUGUAAAGCUCUAUCAGCAGGGAAGAUAAUGACGGUACCUGACUAAGAAGCUCCGGCUAAAUACGUG
rnacentral:rRNA from 1 species